rnacentral:rRNA from 1 species
CCAGGAGCAAGACAGGGCGAAGUCUGAUGCAGCAUGCCGCGUGAGUGAUGAAGGCCUUAGGGUUGUAAAGCUCUCUUCUCAGGGAAGAAAAUAUCUGUACGUAAAUAAGAAGGACCGGACUUUUUAAUGCCAGGACGCCCGGUAAUAAUAUAUG